CCUACGGGUGGCAGCAGUGGGGAAUAUUGGGCAAUGGGCGCAAGCCUGACCCAGCAACGCCGCGUGAAGGAAGAAGGCUUUCGGGUUGUAAACUUCUUUUCUCAGGGACGAAGAAAGUGACGGUACCUGCGGACUAAGCCACGGCUAACUACGUACCAGCAGCCGCGGUAAUACGUAGGUGGCAAGCGUUAUCCGGAUUGAUUGGGUGUAAAGGGCGUGUAGGCGGGAGGGCAAGUCAGAUGGGAAAACGCUGGGCUCAAACCUGGGACUGCAUUUGAAACUGUGGUUCUUGAGUGCUGGAGAGGCAAUCGGAAUUCGGUGUGUAGCGGUGAAAUGCGUAGAUAUUGGGAAGAACACCAGUGGCGAAGGCGGAUUGCUGGACAGUAACUGAAGCUGAGGCACGAAAGCGUGGGGAGCAAACAGGAUUAGAUACCCCAGUAGUG
rnacentral:rRNA from 1 species